AUUCGGUCUCCUUUUGGUUUCCACCAUGGCCUGGGCCCUGUUUCUCGUCACGCUCCUCAGUUAUGGCUCAGGUGCCAGUUCACAGCACACCCUGACUCAGCCUCCCUCACAGUCUGGCUCUCUUGGACAAACGACGAAACUCCCCUGCACUAUCAGCAGUAACAAGAAUGCCUUUGGCUGGGUUCAACAGAUACCUGGCCAGGCCCCUCGGUUUCUCUUCUAUAGCAGCACCAGGGGAACUGGGGUCCCCGAUCGGUUCAGCGUUUCUGAAUCAGGCAACACGGGUUAUCUAAGCAUCGGUAAUCUCCAGCCUGGAGAUGAGGCUGAUUAUUACUGUUACAUGUGGCCCAGCGGGGCUAGCCAAUGCCACGGUGGUAAAAUCUCAUGA